CUUAUGUUUCAUAUACUUUUCUAUAUGGUUGUUUCAGUUCACAAUAAAGAGAAUUAAAGUAAACGUCAAAAGCUAUCUGCAGAAAAAAUAAAAAUCUGGCCGAAAAUCCCUCCGUGCUAUGGGGCGGGCCUCCUUUCUGCUGUGCUUACUUACCUGGAGAAGACGGUCUUGGAAAUGACACAGCAGGUGUCUGAGGCUCUUCCCGGGGACACUGCGAUUUCCAAAGGCCUCGCUGCAGAGGGAUUGGCCGCGUGUCAUCAGACUUUGAGCUGUGGUGUGCGUGAAAUAACUUCAGCUACUUAUUUCCUUUUGGAACUGUGCCCAUCCCACCAGAGGGGUGCUCCUUUGUCCCCCAGCCUGCAACUGCGAGGGAGGUGGAAAUCUGUGCUUCUGAUACCUGGGUCCUGGGGCCCACGGCACAGCAGGAGGACAUCACGACAGUUGUGGGCAUGGGGGAGUCAGAGCGCGGUGGUCCUGCCUUGACAGUGGGCCUUGGGGGGCAGAGUGACUGGCUCAGGGGCACAGAACGAGAUAACAGGUUUGCACCUCGAACCCAGGCCAGACGCAUCGCCCCGUGCUCCUCGAGAGGGGGGAAAGCGUCUCUCCCGGUUCUGUUCUCUUGGAGCUUUUCCUCUAGUUUUCAUUCAUCAGUCAGGGAUUUCCAUCAGCUGGAACAGAAACCGACGGCACAGAGCGUGGCUUUCAUUUUCUCUCCUCUAACAGCGCAUCUCCAGAUUCACAUCAAUGUCUCAAAAGAACUUCAGAGAAGACCUGUUUGGGUCCAUUUCCAGAAACGAAAUGUCCAGCCUCUCUGUGCUUAGAUUUUACCCUCCUUUCAAGCUAAUAGGUUAGCCCGUUGCUGUUUCUUGCAUGCUGCCAGAAGACAAGGGAUGGGUCAGAGACUAGAGACUUUAUUAUGCAGAGCACAGCACCCAGCAUGAACACCAGCGUCUCUGGUGGGGCCUCCCGGAGUCUCAGGAAAACCCGCCACCAAGGCCUUCGCUCCCACUAAGCUGUGGAAAUGUGGCUCCUGGGGCCACAGCAGAGCAGCUGUUGCCUGCGUCCGAGGUGCUCCAUAGACGCCCAAGGACGAGUCUUCCGGGCAUGUGACAUUCUGAAACCACAAGUGUCCUUCUCCCCAGAAAAGAGGGAGCACCCACCUUUUUCUUUGUGUCAUGGUCCAUUACAUGUGACCAAAACAGAAUUCUUCCUAUCCAUGGUGACAGCUUUCAAGGAGCAGAUUUUGUCAUUUUUACUUCCAGUUCUCAGGCCUGCUCCCAUCUCCAAACUGGACGCAGCGAUGGGGCCUGGGGUGAGGAGAGGGCCGGGGCUGGAGCAGAGCAGCUGACGGACCUCCAGCCUCUGCAAGGCCUGUGGAGUGGCUUCCCCAGGCCGGCUGGUUUGUUGUGUUCUUCCCUAAUCUCUUAGCUCCUGUGUAAGGACUCAGGCUGGUCCCUGAUCAGUGGUCCCUGAUUAGUGGGAAUUGCCCAAACCUGCCAGGGGUGGACUCUAUUUAGGUUUAUAUAUUUAAGCAUAUAUAUAUGAUACAUGCUCAGCAUAUAGAAACACUUCAAAUCUUUCAGACCAUGGUUUCCCUCAGGCUCUGCCUUCCUUUUCUCUUUACCUCCUUUAUCAGCUCUUACUCCUUUUCUUCUUUCCCACUUCCGAUGGCUGGAGCCAAAGAGGAAGAGAUAAGGGAGUGUUGUCACAGUUGGGAAUUGUCAGGACGGGGAGAAAUACACCAUUUCAGUUCCUUUCCCAACUACUACUUCAAAUCUUUUUUUUUUUUUCUUCUUCUUCUUCUCCCCAAAGCCCCCCAGGUCGUAGUUGUAGAUUCUAGUUGUGAGGGCCUCUGGUUGUGCUAUGUGGGACGCCACCCCAGCAUGGCCUGAUGAGCAGUGUCACAUCUGUGCCCAGGAUCCGAACCAGCGAAACCCUGAGCCGCCAAAGCAGAGCACACGGACUUAACCAUUGGGUCAUGCGGCUGGCCCCUCAAAUUUUGAAUUAAAAAAAAAAUUCCUCUUAAGAAAUCCGAACAUGUCAGCAGAGAUCCCCACGGCCCCCUUGGUGAUAUGCGGCAUCUUUGCAGCCCUCUGGUGGUGGAGGCCUCGGGGCUGCUGGUGUCACCUGUGCUGAGGAGCACCACAGCCACUUGGAGGCAACUAGCAGAGGAGCUGAGGGUGGAGUGGACCCUGCUGACCAUACUGUGUAGGACAUGGACUUCAGGUGACCAGUUUCAUCCACAUUCACUUCUGGGCCCUUCU
rnacentral:lncRNA from 1 species